rnacentral:misc_RNA from 1 species
GGCGUUUGCUCGCUAUUACAAAGAUUAAGUUUGGAUUUUGAUGAACAUGCUCAAGAAGUAGGCUCUUCCUUUGAUGGUCUGUCAACUGGUGCAUGUACUUCUCGAAAGGUUAACUUUAAUGAUAUUGGUUAUGAAUUUAUCAAGAAGCGUCCAAGUAAUCAACCUCUUUUCAACAGCUUAGCCUUGCAGCAAUACAUACUUCUGUGCGCACAGGUACCGGAAGGUGGACUAAGAGACAAACCUGGGAAGCCAAAAGACUACUACCACACGUGUUAUUGCCUGAGUGGCCUCUCAUUGUGUCAGUAUAGCACGUCGAAUGAAGAUUCCCCACCACUUCCCCGGGCUGUAGCAGGCCCCUAUUCCAACCUCCUGGAGCCUAUCCAUCCACUAUACAAUGUUGUUUUUGAACGUUCUAUUGAAGCACUUGAUUUCUUUAGGGGGAAAUAGGUAAUCUCUU